UAUAUGAUGAAAGUAAAAUUAUUUAGAGAUAUAAUAUGGUGUUUGUUGAAUUUUUUAGUGAUUAUAGAAUAUUUUUGAAAAAUAUAGAUGGAUUUUAGUUAGAUUUUUAGCAUAUGGGCAUAUAAGAUUAUUUGAAAUUAUGAUAUUUAAAUUUUAUAUGAUUGAUUGAAGCUUGAGGAUAGAGGUUUAAAUAUAUGAAUAUUGAAUUAGGUUGAAUUA
rnacentral:misc_RNA from 1 species